rnacentral:rRNA from 2 species
GGUCUGAGAGGAUGAUCCGCCCACACUGGGACUGAGACACGGCCCAGACUCCUACGGGAGGCAGCAGUGGGGAAUUUUGGACAAUGGGCGUAAGCCUGAUCCAGCCAUGCCGCGUGUCUGAAGAAGGCCUUCGGGUUGUAAAGGACUUUUGUCCGGGAGCAAAUCCCAGUGGUUAAUACCUACUGGGGCUGAGAGUACCGGAAGAAUAAGCACCGGCUAACUACGUGCCAGCAGCCGCGGUAAUACGUAGGGUGCAAGCGUUAAUCGGAAUUACUGGGCGUAAAGCGUGCGCAGGCGGUUGUGCAAGUCUGAUGUGAAAGCCCCGGGCUUAACCUGGGAACGGCAUUGGAGACU